CUGGAAGCUUGGGAUAGCCGCUACUGCUGCUGUUGCCGCCUAUUGCUUGCAAUUUAUAUGGUAACAGCAGCCAUAAAGGCUUACUAUUUGUUAUCCAAAAAAAAAAAUCCAUUGCAUAUUGGCAGUAGUGGUAACCCCAAAAUUCGAUAUUUAACAGCCAUUAGUUAGCUGUUGUUUAAAUCCAUUGUUGACUGUCUUACUGAACAAUGAAGUAACAUGCAUCUUACCUUACAGUUAGCAAGGGAAAGCACACCAGAUGAGGAUGUUGGCCUCCUGCAACCGCAAGUACUACCACAAUAGGAUUCCAUAUCCUCUUUCUUUCUGGUUACUUUCUUAUGUCUUCUUCUUCUUCUGUUGUUGAGGCCUGAGGACAAAAGGAGGAGAAGAAAGGAGGGGGGCGGGCACAAGCAGAUAGAAAUCCAGGUGUAUAAGGCAAUCAAACCCUCUGGCAUAUGAUUUGAUUCAGUUUUAGGUGUUUGGUUCAUUGGUUUAAAAGAGAAUGAUUACUUUUUUAUUGAUAAU
rnacentral:misc_RNA from 1 species